rnacentral:rRNA from 1 species
CAGCCGUAAACUAUGCUCGCUAGGUGUCAGGCAUGGCGCGACCGUGUCUGGUGCCGCAGGGAAGCCGUGAAGCGAGCCACCUGGGAAGUACGGCCGCAAGGCUGAAACUUAAAGGAAUUGGCGGGGGAGCACAACAACGGGUGGAGCCUGCGGUUUAAUUGGACUCAACGCCGGGAAGCUCACCGGAUAAGACAGCGGAAUGAUUGCCGGGCUGAAGACUCUGCAUGACUAGCUGAGAGGUGGUGCAUGGCGUAGUCGUGU